CGACAGCACAAUGGCUGCCUGUGGCUCCUCGGGCUCUCGCCAUCUCGUCUGGGGCCCGGCACCAGCGAAAGUCACCGCAGUCCCAUCACCUCUCUAUUUAUCUUUGCGCGGGGGGAGCCGGAUGAGGAGGGAGGACUUUUUCUCUUGUCUCACACCGUGACAAGCGGACUGACCCAUGACUUGCUGGCCUUCUGCACCCAUGACUGACAGCUCGCCGUCACACUGGAGACGAGCGUCGCCUUCUCUCAAAAGGAGUGAAUCAAGGAGCUGUCUAGACAAGACACAUCCAUUCCCUCACGGAUCCAGUUUGGACAUUGCCGAGCCACUCUGGUGCCCAGUUCCCAUGCCGGCCCCGAGCGACUCGCCGGGAACGCCCGAUGCCAAUGACGG